CGAGCGCAACCUUGUCCUUAGUUGCCAGCNCGUAAUGGNGGGACUCUAGGGAGACUGCCGGUGACAAACCGGAGGAAGGUGGGGAUGACGUCAAGUCAUCAUGGCCCUUAUGGGUAGGGCUACACACGUGCUACAAUGGUGUACAGAGGGUGCAACCGCGAGAGUAAGCAAUCCCAAAAACUCGUANUCCGGAUUGGAGUCUGCAACUCGACUCCNUGAAGUCGGAAUCGCUAGUAAUCGCGGAUCAGAAUGCCGCGGUGAAUACGUUCCCGGGCC
rnacentral:rRNA from 1 species